GCGCUCGUAACUCAAGUGGCAGAGCAAUUGCCUUCUAAGUAACAGGUUGAGGGUUCGAGUCCCCCCGAGCGUU
rnacentral:tRNA from 1 species